CCUACGGGAGGCAGCAGUAAGGAAUAUUGGUCAAUGGGCGGAAGCCUGAACCAGCCAUGCCGCGUGCAGGAUGACUGCCCUAUGGGUUGUAACUGCUUUUGUCCCGGAAUAAACCUAAAUACGUGUAUUUACCUGAAUGUACUGGAAGAAUAAGGAUCGGCUAACUCCGUGCCAGCAGCCGCGGUAAUACGGAGGAUCCGAGCGUAAUCCGGAUUUAUUGGA
rnacentral:rRNA from 1 species